rnacentral:miRNA from 1 species
CUCUUCCUCGCGGCCCUGUCUCCCAACCCUUGUACCAGUGCUGGCCUCAGACCCUGGUACAGGCCUGGGGGGCAGGGACCCGGGGACCGGGCACCAGCAGGCCACA